rnacentral:rRNA from 1 species
UCGGUAGAGGGGUUUUGAUUAUCUCUCUGCGUGAGCUAACGCGUUAAGUGCCCCGCCUGGGGAGUACGGCCGCAAGGCUAAAACUCAAAAGAAUUGACGGGGGCUCGCACAAGCGGUGGAGCAUGUGGCUUAAUUCGAUGCAACACGAAGAACCUUACCGGGGCUUGACAUGGUAGAAGUAGGAGCCCGAAAGGGUAACGAACGGUAUCCAGUCCGUAGCUAUCACAGGUGUUGCAUGGCUGUCGUCAGCUCGUGUCGUGAGACGUUGGGUUAAGUCCCCUAACGAGCGAAACCCUUGUCUUUAGUUGCCAACAGGUCAAGCUGGGCACUCUAAAGAGACUGCUGUCGUCAAGACGGAGGAAGGUGGGGAUGACGUCAAGUCAUCAUGGCCCUUAUGUCCCGGGCUGCACACGUGCUACAAUGGUCGGUACAAAGGGAUGCCAAGUCGCAAGACGGAGCGAAACCCAAAUAAAGCCGAUCCCAGUUCAGAUUGGAGGCUGAAACCCGCCUCCAUGAAGUAGGAAUCGCUAGUAAUCGCGGAUCAGCUAUGCCGCGGUGAAUAUGUUCCCGAGCCUUGUACACACCGCCCGUCAAGCCACCCAAGCAAGAUGCACCCGAAGCCACUGGCCUAACCCGCAAGGGACGGAAGUGUCUAAGGUGUGUUUUGUGAGGAGGACUAAGUCGUAACAAGGUAGCCGUA